rnacentral:rRNA from 1 species
AUGAACGCUAGCUACAGGCUUAACACAUGCAAGUCGAGGGGCAUCAGGAAGAAAGCUUGCUUUCUUUGCUGGCGACCGGCGCACGGGUGAGUAACACGUAUCCAACCUGCCCUUUACUCGGGGAUAGCCUUUCGAAAGAAAGAUUAAUACCCGAUAGCAUAAUGAUUCCGCAUGGUUUCAUUAUUAAAGGAUUCCGGUAAAGGAUGGGGAUGCGUUCCAUUAGGUUGUUGGUGAGGUAACGGCUCACCAAGCCUUCGAUGGAUAGGGGUUCUGAGAGGAAGGUCCCCCACAUUGGAACUGAGACACGGUCCAAACUCCUACGGGAGGCAGCAGUGAGGAAUAUUGGUCAAUGGGCGCUAGCCUGAACCAGCCAAGUAGCGUGAAGGAUGAAGGCUCUAUGGGUCGUAAACUUCUUUUAUAUAAGAAUAAAGUGCAGUAUGUAUACUGUUUUGUAUGUAUUAUAUGAAUAAGGAUCGGCUAACUCCGUGCCAGCAGCCGCGGUAAUACGGAGGAUCCGAGCGUUAUCCGGAUUUAUUGGGUUUAAAGGGAGCGUAGGUGGACUGGUAAGUCAGUUGUGAAAGUUUGCGGCUCAACCGUAAAAUUGCAGUUGAUACUGUCAGUCUUGAGUACAGUAGAGGUGGGCGGAAUUCGUGGUGUAGCGGUGAAAUGCUUAGAUAUAACGAAGAACUCCGAUUGCGACUGCAGCACACUGGACUGCAACUGACACUGAUGCUCGAAAGUGUGGGUAUCAAACAGGAUUAGAUACCCUGGUAGUCCACACAGUAAACGAUGAAUACUCGCUGUUUGCGAUAUACAGUAAGCGGCCAAGCGAAAGCAUUAAGUAUUCCACCUGGGGAGUACGCCGGCAACGGUGAAACUCAAAGGAAUUGACGGGGGCCCGCACAAGCGGAGGAACAUGUGGUUUAAUUCGAUGAUACGCGAGGAACCUUACCCGGGCUUAAAUUGCAGUGGAAUGAUGUGGAAACAUGUCAGUGAGCAAUCACCGCUGUGAAGGUGCUGCAUGGUUGUCGUCAGCUCGUGCCGUGAGGUGUCGGCUUAAGUGCCAUAACGAGCGCAACCCUUAUCUUCAGUUACUAACAGGUCAUGCUGAGGACUCUGGAGAGACUGCCGUCGUAAGAUGUGAGGAAGGUGGGGAUGACGUCAAAUCAGCACGGCCCUUACGUCCGGGGCUACACACGUGUUACAAUGGGGGGUACAGAAGGCAGCUAGCGGGUGACCGUAUGCUAAUCCCAAAAUCCUCUCUCAGUUCGGAUCGAAGUCUGCAACCCGACUUCGUGAAGCUGGAUUCGCUAGUAAUCGCGCAUCAGCCACGGCGCGGUGAAUACGUUCCCGGGCCUUGUACACACCGCCCGUCAAGCCAUGGGAGCCGGGGGUACCUGAAGUACGUAACCGCAAGGAUCGUCCUAGGGUAAAACUGGUGACUGGGGCU